rnacentral:rRNA from 1 species
GAUGAACGCUAGCGGCAGGCCUAAUACAUGCAAGUCGAACGGUGUCUUCGGACAUAGUGGCGCACGGGUGCGUAACACGUAUGCAACCUACCUUACAUUGGGGGAUAGCCUUUCGAAAGGGAGAUUAAUACCGCAUAAGACAGUAGCUGGGCAUCCAGCAGCUGUUAAAGAUUUAUCGAUGUAAGCUGGGCAUGCGUCCAAUUAGCUAGUUGGUGAGGUAACGGCUCACCAAGGCAAUGAUUGGUAGGGGAACUGAGAGGACAAUCCCCCACACUGGCACUGAGAUACGGGCCAGACUCCUACGGGAGGCAGCAGUAGGGAAUAUUGGGCAAUGGACGCAAGUCUGACCCAGCCAUGCCGCGUGCAGGAUGAAGGCGUUAUGCGUUGUAAACUGCUUUUAUACAGGAAGAAACGACUCCUGCGAGAGGCAUUGGCGGUACUGUAUGAAUAAGCACCGGCUAACUCCGUGCCAGCCGCCGCCGUAAGAC